AUGAAUUUUUGAAUGGCCGCAGUAUUUUGACUGUGCAAAGGUAGCAUAAUCAUUAGUUUUUUAAUUAAAAACUGGAAUGAAAGGUUGAACGAGAAAAUAACUGUCUCUGUAUAAAUUAUUUAUAAUUUUAUUUUUAAGUUAAAAAGCUUAAAUUUAUUUGAAAGACGAGAAGACCCUAUAGAGUUUUAUAAUAAUGAUAAUAAAUAUAUUAUUGAAUCUGUAAAUAUUUAUUUUAAUAAUUAUUUGAUUGGGGUGAUUGAAAAAUUUGUAAAACUUUUUUUUACUAAAAACAUUAAUUUAUGAAUAUUUGAUCCAUAUAUUAUGAUUAAAAAGAUUAAAUUACCUUAGGGAUAACAGCGUAAUUUUCUUUUUAGAGUUCUAAUCGAUAAAGAAGUUUGCGACCUCGAUGUUGGAUUAAAAUUUUAUUUUUGGUGUAGAAGCUAAAAUAUUAGGU
rnacentral:rRNA from 1 species